rnacentral:rRNA from 1 species
GACGAACGCUGGCGGCGUGCUUAACACAUGCAAGUCGAACGGUAAGGCCCUUCGGGGUACACGAGUGGCGAACGGGUGAGUAACACGUGGGUGAUCUGCCCUGCACUUCGGGAUAAGCUUGGGAAACUGGGUCUAAUACCGGAUAGGACCACGGUCUGCAUGGAUUGUGGUGGAAAGCUUUUGCGGUGUGGGAUGGGCCCGCGGCCUAUCAGCUUGUUGGUGGGGUGAUGGCCUACCAAGGCGACGACGGGUAGCCGGCCUGAGAGGGUGUCCGGCCACACUGGGACUGAGAUACGGCCCAGACUCCUACGGGAGGCAGCAGUGGGGAAUAUUGCACAAUGGGCGCAAGCCUGAUGCAGCGACGCCGCGUGGGGGAUGACGGCCUUCGGUUGGUAAACCUCUUUCUAGCAGGGACGAAGGGUGACGUGACGGUACCUGUAGAAGAAGACACCGGCCGAACUACGUGCCAGCAGCCGCGGUAAACACUAACUCGU